GAUGAAGAACGUAGCGAAAUGCGAUACGUAAUGUGAAUUGCAGAAUUCAGUGAAUCAUCGAGUCUUUGAACGCACAUUGCGCCCCAUGGUAUUCCGUGGGGCAUGCCUGUUCGAGCGUCAUUUACCCCCUCAAGCUCCGCUUGGUGUUGGGCGUCUGUCCCGCUUCGCGCGCGGACUCGCCCCAAAGGUAUUGGCAGCGGUCGUGCCAGCUUCUCGCGCAGCACAUUGCGCUUCUCGAGGCACCGGUGGGCCCGCGUCCAUCAAGCUCACCCCCCCAGUUUGACCUCGGAUCAGGUAGGGAUACCCGCUGAACUUAAGCAUAUCAAUAAGCGGAGGA
rnacentral:misc_RNA from 1 species